UUUCCUUUUGCUACAUGGGCCUGAGGGAGGAGCUGUUGUUUUCACCUUCUCCAAGGGGUCCACGCCUUAGGAUCUGUUGAGCUAGUCAACAUUUGAGGCUUAGAAAUUUAACCUUCAGCUCUAAAACAUCUUGAGACAAGUGGUUGAUUCAUUUGCCUAUCUCUGGUGGCCUGAACCUGCCCUUCUGCUUCUGCCUGGGAUGGCAAUCUUGCUGCUGGUGCAGAGAAAGUUGUGGUGGCCUUUUUGUCCUGAAGCAGCUGUUCUACUCCUCACAGUCAGUUAAUAAAGACUCAACAAUAAGCAGCUGCCUGUGAUGUCAUUGGGACUUUGUCCACAGAGCUUGUAUUUACAAGUACAGAGAAACUACAUAACAGCAGAAAAACCAACUACCAGCAAACUUCAUGUCUGCAGUUACUGUAGGACUUCAGUAGUGCUGUGGAUGGGCUAGCAAGCUAACUCUGCUCUUCUAACCACAGAUUUUUAAAGUGAUGCUGGAAACAGCCUGAUAUUUCUAGUACAGCAGAAGGAAAACAAAUAACCUCAUCCAUGGAGAGAAAAAGACAGCUACAGAAAAGGGAAUUUGGGAAAAGAUUUUCUCUGGACAGCAGUCUUGUGGAAUAUAUGGACUCAAAUAAAUACAUAGAGCAUUUAGUGACUCAGCUAGAAGAGCAACGUUGGAACCUAU